rnacentral:lncRNA from 1 species
CACAGGGUCUCCCGAAUUCACUCUACUCGCAGCCUUUCUCACACUACACCCAGCCACUAAACCUUUCAGGCCCACAGCAAUCUCAACCUCCUAACCAAGGCUCACAAAACCCAAAACCUCCUCACAACGGCUAAAGAUGACACAUGCAGAAGCUGAAUGCAAACGGGUUUGUAAACCUUUUUUUUUGCAAAUUCAGCAGUUUGGUAUCAUGCUAUCACGGCUCCAAACAAACAUCUGGUGGCUUCUCGGGGUGCUUGCAAGUUACGUGCCUUUCUGGCUCGCUUAGCAACAGGUAAUGAUGAUGCAGAGAGACAUGUACCUAAGUAACCCGAGGAGAUUCUUGGUCCAUACAUCCUCUGGGCUUAUAUAAAUGUUUGGUUUUGCCGUGUAAUAUUAUAAUAUCAUCCUCUUAUUGUAGUCUAUAUCUGAAGCUACCCUUAGUUAAAAAUCGGUGUUGGUGUCUGGUGAUAUUGAUAUGAGUACUGCAAACUCUCUUGCCUUUAUUUAUUUUUUUCUGGAUAUUUCGCUUAAUGCGUGUCUGAAUUAUUGUUUCUGCUUCCGUGGUAUUUAUUAUAUGAUCAUCUAUGAGAUAUGUGCAAGUUUUGGUUCCAGAUAGUGUCCUAUGGGGAUUGUCCAAUCGGUUUUGGGUAUCGGACAUAUUAACACCGACUUUCUUAGGUUUGUUACGGUUUCAGGAAGUACCGCUCGUGGAACCAUCCAUACAAGCAUCGGAUUCUACCCCGGGUGUGAUCCCACAAAGUUUGGUGUUACAUUUUUUUUUUCUCUGUGUCUCGGAAGGAAUAUAUCAAAAUAAAAUGUAAGUUUUCACAGAAAAAACGGUAUAUUAUUUUCAUCAUAUUGUGCGUAUUUUUGGCUUUGGUGAAGGUUAUUAGUCCAGAAAGGACAAAGCCCAUUUGGGUUGGUUUUGGACACGAAAGGGAUUGUGCAGCAUUGGCAAAUAGUGGUUAACGUUCGUCUAUCUGGUCUGGUGUUCCUUGUGAGGACCGUAGUUGGGCCCAAAUAUCAUAAAGAAACACACGAAACACUCUCCGUUUUUGGUUUUGAUCCCAGACAGACAAGAACACUCUCUCAUGUAUGGCAAAUGCCCUCCCUCUUUAAAUCAAAUAACGGACAGGAAGCAGUUGCGGCCCUGGGUAUAAGCAUUAGAAACAUCUGAUUCCGGCCGUUGAUAAUUAACAAAAUUUUCAGCCUAUUUAUAAAAUAUGCCAGUAGGUUAGAUGAUCAAACUAGCUAACAAAUCCCUCCAUAAUAAAAUUUUGGGUUUCUAGUCUUUGUUUUUGUAGAGCUUUUUACUGCUGGGCCUGAGUAGAAAUCAAGAAACAUAAAUAGAUAGAAAUGUGAGAUGUCCAGGACUUUAUGCCUGCUCUCUCUCUCUCUCUUUCUCGAGUCACUCUCAAAAUCUGGUUCGGGUUAGGUUAUAGACAUUUUAUGUGGAACUCAAAAACUGAGAUAGGAUCAAUACUUUUAAAAAUCUAUGCAUUUCUUAUUUUCCAAAACCCAAACAAACAAACCAAACGAAUAUUUUAAUUUUACUGAAAGUAUUAUUUGUAUUUAAUUUUAAAAUAAUUAUAUAUAAAUAUAGUUUAUAAUUAAAACAAGUACAUUUAUAUAUUUUUUUCAGCUACUAGCCAAUUCUCGAUAUUUUUAGCAAAAUCGAACUGAAUUCUGUAGAAACCCUGUCUAAACCUGAAAGCACCGACAGUGCCGGCUCAAUAGGGAGUGCGGCCGGUGCGACCGCCCCGGGUCCGGUUCAAAUCUUACAAUAUUAGGGGCCCUAAUUAUUUAAUUAGCAUAUCUGAUUUAGAUUUAAACAGUAUUAAAACGAUGUAUCAUAAUUUUUUCUAGUUAAAUUAUCAAAGAGAAUAUACAUGUUUGAUGCUCGAGUCGAAAUUUCAGGAAAUUUUUUUACCAACGUUAAAAAAUUAACUUACUAUAGGGGCUUUAAAAUUCUUUUUGCCCAAGGGCCCUUCUAUAUAUUAAGCCGGCCCUGAGCACCGAAAACCAUAAACUCGAACUGGAACCAAACUAUAAUGCCCUCUGCCUAAAUCAAACACUGAAAAUCUGAAACUUUGUAACCCAUUUGCUACUUGUGUUACAGGCUUCACGGUACACAGAUAUAUCCUAUUGAUUAAAUAGUGGGCUUUAAGACAAGGCCUUUCCAGUUUUUGUGGGCCGAAACUGAAAAUAAAAUGCUACACUUGCCCACCAGCGAACGUGAACAUCAGAGUCACAGAUAACAACACUUGAGAGAGUUAUCAGAAAGAGUUCCCUAUCGACACUCUCUCUCUCUCUCUCUUCCUCUCAGCAUCAUCAUCACCACCAAAUCGCCGCCAUGUUCAGACAAGCUUCUCGCCUCGUCUCCCGAUCUAUCACCGCCAAAUCGGCGACAAACCGUGCGUUUUCAACGGAAGUCCCGUCGACGAUCGAUUCGAGUUUCGUGGAGGCAUGGAAGAAAGUCGCACCGAACAUGGACCCGCCGCAGACUCCUUCUUCCUUCAUGAAGCCUCGUCCAUCGACUGCUUCCUCGAUUCCGACGAAGCUCACCGUCAAUUUCGUCCUCCCUUACGCAUCUGAGCUUUCCGGGAAAGAGGUCGGCUUUCAUUUUUCCUCGUUCGAUGUUCGCAUUUAGGUUUCUAGGGUUUGAUCUAUGACUCUGUGUGUUAUGGUUACAUAUUUGAUUGUUGUUUGAUUUCAUGAUAAGGUGGUUAAUUAGGUCUGAAGACUUUUGAUUUUUGGUUAGAUCUAACGGCGCUAAAGUUUAGGGUUUUGAUAGGCCAAAGCUGAAACUGGCGCAGUUGAUGUUUCGUUUAGUUUCUACAUAAUUGUUAAUAACAAGAUCAAGAACAAAAAAAAAAGCCUCACUUUUUAGUGAUUAAGAAUAACCUAAAUCUCCCUAAUUUCUCAGGUUUACCAUUUGUUGUCUCUGCAAAAUGUUGCUUGCUAUAAAUCCAUUAAAAUUUUAUUAAGAGUUUUGUUAUCUCUGCUCUGUUCAUAACCAAAUGAUCCUGGUGUGUUUUUUACGGUUUCUAAUACAAUGUGAUUGGCAAAUAAUGUUUGUUUCAUAUAUCUUGAAACUUUGAUGUUGACAAAUUAUAACUGCUGAUUUCUAAUGUGUUAAUUGGUUUUGUGAAGGUUAAUCUUUUCUCUUCUAUUGAUAUAUGAUGUGGUAUACAUAUAGACUGAAUCUCCAUGGCAAGUAGUAAUUUCUCAUUGGCUUAUUCUCAUAUGUUGGUGGUGCAUUCACUGUGAUAUCUCUUCUGUAGAAUAUACAUUCAGUACUGAAAGUUCUUAUCGUCCCUGACUUGCUUUCUGAUGCAUCCAUUGCUUAUAUCCGAGAACGUAAACCUAUUUCUUGAUUGGUUUGUUUUCUUGUAUAUAUUUAAUUAUAACUCAAAGCUUAUUGGCUUUUUCUCUUUUGUCUACUUCAAGGUCGACAUGGUCAUCAUUCCCGCGACAACAGGACAAAUGGGUGUUUUGCCUGGACACGUUCCAACAAUCGCUGAGCUCAAACCCGGUAUCAUGUCCGUCCACGAAGGUACUGACAUCAAGAAAUACUUUGUGAGCAGUGGAUUUGCAUUUCUCCACGCAAAUUCCGUUGCUGACAUUAUCGCGGUUGAGGCCGUGCCGCUUGAGAACAUCGACGCAAGCCAAGUCCAAAAGGGUUUAGCUGAGUUUACACAGAAACUUGCUUCUGCCACAACAGAUCUUGAGAAAGCAGAAGCACAGAUUGGUGUCGAAGUUCACAGUGCUAUGAACGCAGCUCUCUCGGGCUGAUGAUGAGUGAAAGUCUCUUUUUUACUACUACAAAUGAUGGAAUAAAUUAGAAAAUGAUUUUAUUUUUCCUUUUCGUAAUUGUGUUGGACUUUUUGGAAUAAAUGAUUUUGUUGAAGGCACAAACCAACAGAAAGUUAUUAUUCUUCUCGACUUAUGUUUGUUUUGAGAUUGAGAAACUAAGUUCCCGAAUUGAUUUAUGGUUUUCAUUUCCUAAAAUUCUUUUUUUCUCACUUUGGGCCAUUUUUGCAAUGUCACUUCAGAACGAUUAAAAAUUGUUGGUUUUUCUUGUUGAUUUUGAAACUCUCUCGAAGUGACAAUAUUAGUGUUUUACAGUGACCUAGAAAUAAUAUGAUUUUUAAAAUAUCGAACAACUCAUAUCAUGAUUAACAUAUCAUACUGUACGUAGGCUGGGACGGAUCCAGAUAUUCGGAAAAUUUAAUAUCCGGAUUUCGGAUAUCCGUCUCGAUAUUUUAUUACCCGCGGAUAUCCGGAUCCGUAAAAAUAAUUAAAAAUAAUAUUUUUUUUUAAAACUAAAAUUUUAAUAUAAUAUAUAAACCUGUUGGUACUGGUCGUGGAAGUUCAGUUGGGGGCCACCUUCCCCACCAACAAGCCACCCAGCAUAAUGUUGGAACUAUUGGCCCUAAUGUGAACUUCCCCCUUGAUAGUCCAAAUAGCCAGCCUUCACCUGGUGGUCCGCUAUCCCAACCUGGAUAUGUAAGUAUCGCCCUCAUCUCUUUUAAUUUUUUUCUUUCAUCUAGUAGUUUCUGAAGCAUUAGAGCUCGAUUGUUUUUGGUUGACUUUAAAUCAUCAUACGAUGUUGCCUUUUCAGGGAAGCCAAGCAUUCAGGGAUGGUUUUAUGGGCGGCAUUUCUCAGGUUGUCUUCUCGUUUUAUGUUACUUAGUGAUCAGGGGCAGUCUUUUCUACUUUUGUCUGUUAUUUAAUAUCUUCUAUGUCAAUACCACCAGGAUUUCUUAGGUGAUGAUUUCAAGAGCCAGGGAUCUCAUGUUCCUUACAACAUGGGCGACUAUUCUACACAGGUAGUUUCUCUUCUGCCUGCUUUAGUUAUUAGACAUGUAAAUACUUUGGAUAUAUGAUAGUAGGACUACGAUAAGAUGUCUUUGGAAAUGUAAAACCAAAAUUCCGAGGUUGGGCCAGAUAUAUAUAACCAUGUGUUGCAAAGUUGAUAGUUCUUGAAUUUCACAUAGGAAUUACUGACUGUUCAUGUUUUUUGUAUAUGUUCUUCGUUUCUGAGCCAUAUUUGUAUAUAAUUUCUUUGUAUGCCUCACAGGGAGGAUAUGCGGUUGAUUAUGCCACACAAGGAGCCCAUGGAGCUUUUCCUGGAAACUUUAUGAACCAAAAUUCUCAAGGGGGUUAUUCUCGUUUCAGUGGGAGUAAUGAUUUCAUGUCCCAGGUGUGUUUCACCUAGCCUUUCCUUUUAACACAGUUUUUUUUCCUUAAUUCCUAGACCUUCGUCUGAGUCCUCUAUUGUUGACACAGGAGUAUAUGGCGCAUGGAGCACAAGGUCUUUUCACCCAAGCUGGCUUUAUCGACUCAUCUCAGGAUGAUGGACAACAGAAUCCUUUUGGUGUGAACAAUCCUAAUCUUCAGUCUCAGGUUUGUCCUUAAUCCUAAUCCUUGAUAGUUCGUUUGCAUUAACGUUUACAAUUAACAAAAAAGGAGGAUUCUUAAGAUAGCGAAGGUUGUGUGUUUAUAUAGAGAGAAUUACACACUAAACAUUAACCCAAACUCAUACAAACAAUUGAGGCCUUUCGAGUUUGUGUUCACCAUAUUAAUCUUUGGUACUCAUGUUUCUUUUCAAAAGAUGCUAACGACUCUUCGUCUCACAGGGUCUCCCGAAUUCACUCUACUCGCAGCCUUUCUCACACUACACCCAGCCACUAAACCUUUCAGGCCCACAGCAAUCUCAACCUCCUAACCAAGGCUCACAAAACCCAAAACCUCCUCACAACGGCUAAAGAUGACACAUGCAGAAGCUGAAUGCAAACGGGUUUGUAAACCUUUUUUUUUGCAAAUUCAGCAGUUUGGUAUCAUGCUAUCACGGCUCCAAACAAACAUCUGGUGGCUUCUCGGGGUGCUUGCAAGUUACGUGCCUUUCUGGCUCGCUUAGCAACAGGUAAUGAUGAUGCAGAGAGACAUGUAC